AUUGAACGCUGGCGGCAUGCCUUACACAUGCAAGUCGAACGGCAGCACGGGAGCAAUCCUGGUGGCGAGUGGCGAACGGGUGAGUAAAGUAUCGGAACGUGCCCAGUCGUGGGGGAUAACGUAGCGAAAGCUACGCUAAUACCGCAUACGAUCUAUGGAUGAAAGCGGGGGACCGUAAGGCCUCGCGCGAUUGGAGCGGCCGAUAUCCGAUUAGGUAGUUGGUGGGGUAAAGGCCUACCAAGCCGACGAUCUGUAGCUGGUCUGAGAGGACGACCAGCCACACUGGGACUGAGACACGGCCCAGACUCCUACGGGAGGCAGCAGUGGGGAAUUUUGGACAAUGGGCGCAAGCCUGAUCCAGCAAUGCCGCGUGCAGGAUGAAGGCCUUCGGGUUGUAAACUGCUUUUGUACGGAGCGAAAAGGCUUCCACUAAUACUGGGAGCUCAUGACGGUACCGUAAGAAUAAGCACCGGCUAACUACGUGCCAGCCGCCGCCGUAAAAC
rnacentral:rRNA from 1 species